AGCACGCAAUCGACCCGCGACCUUAUUCUUCUAGUUUUCCAUCUAGAUCUAAAUCUAGUGAUCUAAAUUACAGCGGUUGUACAUCUGAAUCCCGAUGUUACUAUUCUAGAAACUACAGGCCUGAAUUCAUUAAGUCUGGAAGAUUGUUGUACAGAUCAAUACUCUAGAAAGAUAUAAUUUAGAAUGAUCUAUGCAGAAGGACAAUUUAAUCAUGGACAGUCCAAUGGAAUCUCAAGAGUUCACAGAGCAGACUGCAUCUGGAGAAGGGGAAGCAAAUGGCGGUUCAAAAGUUAGGAUCAAAGGAAUCAAAAUUGUCCUGAGAGACAUACAGGCACCUCGGUCAUCAUGGCCGGAAGUACACCUCCAGAGCCUAUGCGAGACCUGUAGGCCGAGAAGAACACGUAGUCAGUCAGCUGCUGAACAUGAUAACAAGUUUAAAAGAGGCGGUGGGAGAAAAUGUUGUGAGGAACUCCUGAAGUCCUGGAAGGCACCCACCAGAAGGCACAGGCUGCCAAGACAUCUCCGCGACUUUGUUGUAGACAGCACCGUUCUACACUUGAUAGAGUUCAGCGAUUGGUAUAAUAGGGGGAGAUUAGCCAGACAGUGGGAUCUGUAUCCAAUACGUAAAGGUGUGCCAACCCGAGAAGGAAGUCCUAUCAAAGGCACAAUGAAAAGAAAAAGAACAUAUAGGAAGGAACAGGAGUUGUAUAGGAAGAAGAAA